UACGUAGGGUCCGAGCGUUGUCCGGAAUUAUUGGGCGUAAAGGGCUCGUAGGCGGUUUGUCACGUCGGGAGUGAAAACUUGGGGCUUAACCCCAUUCGUGCUUCCGAUACGGGCAGACUAGAGGCAGGCAGGGGAGACUGGAAUUCCUGGUGUAGCGGUGAAAUGCGCAGAUAUCAGGAGGAACACCGGUGGCGAAGGCGGGUCUCUGGGCCGAUACUGACGCUGAGGAGCGAAAGCAUGGGGAGCGAACAGG
rnacentral:rRNA from 1 species